CUUUAGGUUCGAUAGACCGUUGCCAAAAAUGUUACCACUGCACAGUCAUAACGACUAAUGUUGUUGCUGAACGACGGUAUCACAAAAAGCUUGAAAAAACAACUAAUAUACGUCUGAUUUCAUGAACUUCAAUGAAAACAAUAUCAUGUUGAUUUAUGCUCUUAUGAGUACAAGGAACAUGUGGUUAUUUUUUUGAUAAAAGAAGAAUUUUUCCAAGAUACUUAGAUCGCCUCGAUAUAUUUAUUUGGCUGCUGAUGUGUCACUUCGCUAUUAGCUUCAAUACCGUUCAUCCUCCAGUACUUUUGUGCCUUUAGAGCAACGACAGUAGAUAUCCAAUGCAUACCUGAGGAGAUAGCUAGUCAAGUCACCAUUGUACUUUUUCUUUCCUACAACGCGAGUGUUGGGUUAACUGUACACUAGCUAAAGGCAAUGACAAUGCUUGGAACGAAAACAGCCCAAUCGACGGGGUUUCAGCAAUGUCGAAACCGUAGGACGAGCUGUUCAUAUCUUUGUUGGAAAACAAACGCUAUAAAUCAGCGACAAAGUCAAUUAAUUCAACACGAAUUGUGCCGUCAUAUCCGUCCGGCUAUCGGUGACAUCUGGCGACUUCGCAUUACCGACUUCUUCGACACAGCCCGAUCAAUUCGUAUACUGCAGUGAAAAGGCAUACACCACACAUUUAUGUAUAUGAUUCAUGAACUUCUGCCUUCUGCUAGUAAAGUCAAAAAUUGCAGCAAGGUCGUGUCUUGCUCCAAUCCAUUAUUGUUAUUCAACGCUCCCUAUGACCAGAGCGAUGCGUUACGGCUUACCAUCAAAAUGCAGUAGGAUAUUUACACAUUAUGCUCAUCGAAAUCACUAUUUCAGAGUAGCUGCAGUCCAACUAUAUGUGAAACAGGCUACGUUGCGCUACGUGAUAGAAAGCGGACCUUUGCAAGUAUAAAAAAACAUGAGAUAGAUGGAAUCGUGUUUGACACGCCACUGCGCAAGAUAUAUGUAACCAUACAUUGUGUAAUGUCACUACUAGCUUUGAACGCUGACAGGUAACGCAAAAGGUUAAUUAGAAUUGUUUGCGUACCAUACUGGAUCUAAACCUUGUUUGUUUACAUACCAUACGACGCACUAUAUUAUAGGGCAUUUGUGUCGUAAGUUUGCAAGUGUCUGUGAAGAGCCUGCACAACGUGCAAGAAAGGUACGAGCGACUAAAUGAAAUACGAAUAAUAUGCAAUAUAAAACUGUAUAUUGAUAACAUUGUUUAUUAAUAAAAUACUAAAUAUUCAAUAUUUAAUUAUAUCAUUCUUGAACCUCUGUCACUAUCUUUGGACUCCUUUUGGCAAAGUAAAGAUUCAAAGCUGGCAUUCAAUCCUAGUCUGAACCCAGUGCUGCUUGGUGGGUUCCGACUCGUUCAUACUCUUGCCUUGGCUGUUUUUAUUUUAAUUUAACCCUGAACUAUAUAUUAUGAGUUGUUAUGAUGAUGAUUUAAAAAAAAACACAAACCCAAAUGUGGAAUGCGUAUCUGUUAAUGUACAUCCUCAGAUCAAAUCUAAAAGAAGUUGCUUUAAGGACGUCUAUGAUGCAUUUGUUACAAAAUAGACCAAUGCAGAUAUUAGUCGGAAGUAAUUCUGUGCAACAGAUUAAUCGCUAAUUUCUGCUUAUUACAACGGAAGCCCUACACCAGUUUGGAACGCUUCUGGAUUUAUCUUGGAAUUGUUGAUACUGUUGUAUGCCUGUAAGGUAGCAUACAGGACAAUACUAUUCUGAUAUUAGUCCUCCUUAGCACCCUUAGUGUAAGCCAUUUAAACGCGCACGCCUAGUAAGUUCUAUUAUUUUCUUGUAGGCUCUUCCAUUCCGUAGUCAAGGGUACUGUUUGUCUAAAUACCACCCUGCUUAGCUAGCUACAGUAUAUUAUACCAGCAAUACAAGGACUUAAAGUACCUACUAAUAGACGCAGCACUACAAUGGUCUGGCCAUGACAUAGAUAAAGGUAUCUGAGAAUUAUCCAGGCUCUAUCGAGCAACCGAAAGACUAUUUUGUAUUGACCGUUAAACAUAAG